rnacentral:rRNA from 1 species
AGAUGAGGAGCUUGCUCUUCAGAUCGAGUGGCGAACGGGUGAGUAACGCGUGAGGAACCUGCCUCAAAGAGGGGGACAACAGUUGGAAACGACUGCUAAUACCGCAUAAGCCCACGGCUCGGCAUCGAGCAGAGGGAAAAGGAGUGAUCCGCUUUGAGAUGGCCUCGCGUCCGAUUAGCUAGUUGGUGAGGUAAUGGCCCACCAAGGCAACGAUCGGUAGCCGGACUGAGAGGUUGAACGGCCACAUUGGGACUGAGACACGGCCCAGACUCCUACGGGAGGCAGCAGUGGGGAAUAUUGCACAAUGGGGGAAACCCUGAUGCAGCGACGCCGCGUGGAGGAAGAAGGUCUUCGGAUUGUAAACUCCUGUUGUUGAGGAAGAUAA